ACACUUUUCGGAGCGUAAACUCCUUUUCUUAGGGAAGAAUUCUGACGGUACCUAAGGAAUAAGCACCGGCUAACUCCGUGCCAGCAGCCGCGGUAAUACGGAGGGUGCAAGCGUUACUCGGAAUCACUGGGCGUAAAGGGCGCGUAGGCGGAUUAUCAAGUCUCUUGUGAAAUCUAAUGGCUUAACCAUUAAACUGCUUGGGAAACUGAUAGUCUAGAGUGAGGGAGAGGCAGAUGGAAUUGGUGGUGUAGGGGUAAAAUCCGUAGAUAUCACCAAGAAUACCCAUUGCGAAGGCGAUCUGCUGGAACUCAACUGACGCUAAGGCGCGAAAGCGUGGGGAGCAAACAGGAUUAGAUACCCUGGUAGUCCACGCCCUAAACGAUGUACACUAGUUGUUGGGGUGCUAGUCAUCUCAGUAAUGCAGCUAACGCAUUAAGUGUACCGCCUGGGGAGUACGGUCGCAAGAUUAAAACUCAAAGGAAUAGACGGGGACCCGCACAAGCGGUGGAGCAUGUGGUUUAAUUCGAAGAUACGCGAAGAACCUUACCUGGGCUUGAUAUCCUAAGAACCUUAUAGAGAUAUGAGGGUGCUAGCUUGCUAGAACUUAGAGACAGGUGCUGCACGGCUGUCGUCAGCUCGUGUCGUGAGAUGUUGGGUUAAGUCCCGCAACGAGCGCAACCCACGUAUUUAGUUGCUAACGGUUCGGCCGAGCACUCUAAAUAGACUGCCUUCGUAAGGAGGAGGAAGGUGUGGACGACGUCAAGUCAUCAUGGCCCUUAUGCCCAGGGCGACACACGUGCUACAAUGGCAUAUACAAUGAGACGCAAUACCGCGAGGUGGAGCAAAUCUAUAAAAUAUGUCCCAGUUCGGAUUGUUCUCUGCAACUCGAGAGCAUGAAGCCGGAAUCGCUAGUAAUCGUAGAUCAGCCAUGCUACGGUGAAUACGUUCCCGGGUCUUGUACUCACCGCCCGUCACACCAUGGGAGUUGAUUUCACUCGAAGCCGGAAUACUAAACUAGUUACCGUCCACAGUGGAAUCAGCGACUGGGGUGAAGUCGUAACAAGGUAACCGUAGGAGAACCUGCGGUUGGAUCACCUCCUUUCUA
rnacentral:rRNA from 1 species